GAUCAUGCAGAGUCUGCAUUAAAACUGGAGUUUGGACCUUCAGCCCGUUGACCUCCACUGAAGUCCAUUAUAUGGAGAAAAAUCCUGGAAUGUUUGUCUCAAAAACCUUGAUUUCUUUGCGACCGAAAACAGAAAGACGUGAACAUCUUGGAUGACAUGGGGGGGGUGCGUGUGAUAUGACCAGUAAUUGUUUCCUAGGAGAAACACAGGACAACCACAGUGAGGAAACAUCAGUAGAAGUGCAGCCAGACUGUCUCAGCAUCCGCUGCAGAUGUCAGCCACAUUUAUCAUUCUGACUCCAACAAUAAAC